rnacentral:lncRNA from 1 species
ACUUGAAGUCAUGCUGUAUUCUUUCAUAGUUAGUGUUGAAUGAAUGAAUGAACUCUGAGAGUUUGCCUUGCUUCCUAAUCAAUAGAAUCUCAGGGUUGGAAAGAUGCUUAAAGAUUAGCAGUCAGUUCUUAACCCUCUACAACAUCUAUCCUAGCUUGAACACCUUCAGUGAUAGGGGACUCAUCAUCUUAUGCGGUGGUCUGUUCCAUUGUCACAUAGCACAGAUGAUUAGAAUGUUUUUAUUCUCUUGAGCCACUUUCUGUUUUUCUCCAAUAGACCCAAGUUUUCCUCAAUAUGAUGGUUUCAAGGUAAGUUUAAUUACUCUUUCCCAUGACAAUUUUUUUCUCCUGAGAUAGGGAAGGGAGACUCAGAGUUGGCCUCUUCAAAGUCCCUGUUGUGCCAUGAUGAUCAGAGAGCUCCAGAAUGGAGAGGUCAACACCAUUACGUCAGCUCUGAAAAUGAAGCAGGGCAAGUCAGUGGCUUAGAAUUUUGUUACCUACUUGCUCUUGGUCUUUGGGUAAAUCACCUAAUAAUAAUAGCUAAUAAGUGCUACUGAUUAUAGAAUACUUAGUAUGAUAGAAACUGUGCUCAGAUAUUUACAUAUCUUUUCUUAUUUAAUCCUGAUAUAACAUUAACGGUAGUUACUAAUAUUAUCCUCAUUUUACAGAUGUAGCUAAAGUUCGGAGAAAUUAAAUAGCCUACCCAAGGUCUCGGUGACAUUACGUUUGUGUUUUUAACUCCUAUGCUGAGCUCUCUCCAUCAGCUUACUCAUGAAACAAUGAAUAACCCUCAUAACCAAGGCUGCCCAAGAUGGCCAGCGUAGGUCCUGAAAAUCCAACAGACCUCCAAGGCCAAAGCAAAGGAUGGGGCAAUGAUCAUCAGCAGGAAAUACAAGUAAACCCAAGCCAAGGUCAGUGAGGGCUGCCAUGGCCACGAUGUAGGUAAUGGUGAAUGCCCCAAGAGACCAGUAGCUUGAGAUGCCUUGAGGAUCUGGCAAUCAGCAAAAGACAGGGGUAAGACUUAUGUUCUUAAGAGCACCUAAGUGCUGAAGAGAUUACAAUAAUCCCUGACAUAUCAAUUCAAAGUAAAACAAGAGAAACAUCAAAAUUAAAUGUAAAAAUGUUCAAUGAAGUUCUCUUUUUUUUCCCGUGCCUGAAACCACCUAGCAGAACACCUGACACCUGGUGGAUACUCAGCAGCUAUGAGGGUUGUGCUGAGGAACAAAAGUGAUAAUGUACCUGAAAGCUAUUGGAAGAGCUUCAAGUGUUAUGUAAAUGAAAGGUGGUAAUUAAAAACCUCCAGAGAAGGGCAGCCUAUCUCAGUCAUCAAUUAUCAUGUUUUCUUCCUUGUCAGGAAACCUGUAUUUUUCAUGCUUCUUGGGG